GAUGAACGCUAGCGGGAGGCCUAACACAUGCAAGCCGAGCGGUAGAGAUUCUUCGGAAUCUUGAGAGCGGCGUACGGGUGCGGAACACGUGUGCAACCUGCCUUUAUCAAGGGGAUAGCCUUUCGAAAGGAAGAUUAAUACCCUAUAAUAUAUGAUUCGGCAUCGGAUUAUAUUGAAAACUACGGUGGAUAAAGAUGGGCACGCGCAAGAUUAGCUAGUUGGUGAGGUAACGGCUCACCAAGGCGACGAUCUUUAGGGGGCCUGAGAGGGUGAUCCCCCACACUGGUACUGAGACACGGACCAGACUCCUACGGGAGGCAGCAGUGAGGAAUAUUGGACAAUGGGUGCAAGCCUGAUCCAGCCAUCCCGCGUGUAGGAAGACGGCCCUAUGGGUUGUAAACUACUUUUAUCUGGGGAUAAACCUACUUACGUGUAAGUAGCUGAAGGUACCAGAUGAAUAAGCACCGGCUAACUCCGUG
rnacentral:rRNA from 1 species